rnacentral:ncRNA from 1 species
AAGGCAGGGCGUCCAAGUCUCGCAGUAUUGCAUUCCUCUGUACGUUAGCUAUCAUGGUUAACAGCCUAGCGACCGAGCCUUUGCAGCGUGCUUCGGGUUCCCUGAUCAGGAGAAGGACGCUGU